AUGGCUGUGGGGACGGGAGAGCAGGUGAAGCUGUUGGGGGCGUGGGCGAGCCCGUACGUGGCCAGGGUGAAGCUGGCGCUCCACCUCAAGGGUGUGAGCUACGAAUACAUGGAGGAGGACCUCACCAACAAGAGCGAGCGGCUCCUCCGCUCCAACCCCGUCAACAAGAAGGUGCCCGUGCUCAUCCAUGGCGGUAAACCAAUCUGCGAGUCCCAGGUAAUCGUCCAAUACAUCGACGAGGCCUUCGCCUCUGUAGGCCCGACCCUUCUCCCCGCCGACCCCCACGAGCGCGCCGUUGCCCGCUUCUGGGCCACCUACGUCGACGACAAGGUCUUGUUGCCGUGGGGAAUGCUCUUGAGGGCCAAGACGGACGAGGAGAGGGCAGAGUGGACGAGGCAGACCCUCGCAGCGGUUGAUGUGCUAGAAGAAGGCGUGAGGGAGUGCUCAAAGCGCAAGGUGUUCUUUGGCGGUGACGACGUGGGCUACCUCGACGUCCUGCUCGGGGGCAUGGUCCCAUGGGUGUACGCGACCAAGAAGAUAUCCGGUCACAACUUCUUGGACGCCAGCAAGGCCCCGCUGCUGGCGGCAUGGAUGGAGCGCUUCGCGGAGCUGGACGGUACCAAGGCGGUGUUCCAGGACGUUGACAGCUUGGUAGAGUACGUUGGGACCGUACUUUACGGAACGACUGUAAGCAACUGA
rnacentral:rRNA from 1 species